rnacentral:lncRNA from 1 species
GAGACUGCUAUCAGCUUCUGGAGGAGCCUUUACUAAAAUGAAUGAUGAGAGUAACUGGAUGAUGAGAGUAACUAAUGGAUGAUGAGAGAACCAUUGGAGAUACUCAUUACUCUUUGAAGGCUUACAGUGGAAUGAAUUCAAAUACGACUUAUUUGAGGAAUUGAAGUUGACUUUAUGGAGCUGAUAAGAAUCUUCUUGGAGAAAAAAAGACUGGUACUUCUGAAUUAACCAAAAUCACAGUAUUCUGAAGAUGAUUCUACAAAGCCUGCUGUUUCUACAAAGGCUGCUGAUGAUUUCUACAAAGCCUGCUGUAGUGUUGCUGUGGCCUCUGCUUAAAAAAGUAGAAAACACAUUGAUGCAGCAUGUUCACCCCAACCUCCCUGCCUAAAGGCUCAGGGACCAUCUUGGAAGAGGAAGGCGCGUGAGAUUGUAAGAGCCGAAUUAGGGGGAUGGAGUGUGGAGAAUAAGGACACUUCAUCUUGGAUGCUCACCUGCCAAAUUGACUUCUGAUGAAAGCCAGCUCCAGAAAUGUGCCUACAGUUACUACUUUCACCUAAACCCUGCCCUUAGUCAAAUCCUUCUCUUCUUCUAAGCAAUCAACUUCAAUUCCUUGUAUAACCCACAGUAUAAAAGGGCUUUUAUACCAUUCUAUCCUAUUGCAUGUAAGCCUUGGGUCUGGGAGGUAACAGUGUGGGAUUCCACCAUCUCAUCUCCCUGCCACCCAAACAUGCCUGCUCUUCUUUAAGCAAUAUUAAAUGUUUGUACUUCAGAAA